CAAUACGUGUACCUCGUGAUUAUCGGUGAUAAUCAAUUCAUUAAAAACAAACAGCUACCCAAAUUUGGUUAAGUACUCAGGGGAUGUCCUUGUUCUCUAAUUGUGUUGGUUCGUUUCCCAAACCAGAGCUUCCAUGCUGGCAGCUUAGAUGUCUUCAUAAUCUGCGUCAGUUGUUGAAAAGGAAAAAAGAAAGAAAAAAAAAAGAGACAAAGAAAUGGAUUCCAGAUUCAAGCAGGGGCCGAGCCCAGUCCUUUCUACUCUGGUGCCAAACUGAAGGGGCACGGCUGGCUCUUGCUCUUGGCAGAGUCUCCUGGCACUGUGGCUGGUCACUGAUUGCCUUCCUUUGGUAGAAAGUUCAGCUGAGUCAGGUGACGCUAGGCUGGCAUGCGGGGCUUGGAAGGCAGGGAGACUCCUGGUGCCUGAGUUCUUGUGCACACCCCUGCCUCGGGAAAGCAGAGGCCUGGAAGAUCCCUGAGGCCGCGCAUGUCACUUUAGAAUGGUCUCCAUCCUUCGCUGUUUGACAUGGAUGCUGGGUUACUGGAGUGGGCUCGCAGGGCAGAAGACACGUGACACAUGUUGCUGCCGGAAGCUUUGCCCAGUUACUAGCGGCAACCAAGUAAUUAGAAAUUUCUGUACACUGCAGUCCUUGGUGUCACCCAGCUUCAGGAGCGGAGGGGACCCACAGCCAUCUAUACUAUGGUGAAUUCCCUUGGUUGCCGACAGGAAGCUACACCACAGGGGAUGCUCAGAUACCAGGAGCUCUGAGGAUUGCAUUGUGACUUACAGUCCGGGUCUACUGCUACCACGGUCAUCCUCCACUAAUACACAGUCU